rnacentral:ncRNA from 1 species
AAGGCGCCCAGUGAAGCCCCCAUGUCCUCGAGGGGAGUGGCAGGUGAGCCGCUCCCGUAGACUGCGCGGGGAG